CAGCGACGGCGAGUCUGGGGGUAGAGUACUAGUAGAGCACUUGCCCCAUGUACGUGAGGCCCUGGGUUCAUUAUCAAGAUGAGGAACAGAAGAAUGGGUUAGGGAGAGAAGAAAAGGCACCUAUUAAGCCAAGCAACCCCACAGAGACUGCGGCAACUGAAGGAGAGGGGCAGGUGCUAUGCGAAAGGAGAAUGACAGUUGGGCCUGAGCACUUAGGACGACUUCCCGGAGAAAGGAACAUUUAGGUGAGAAGAAAGGACCACGAGGCAUCAGCUAAGCAAGGAACGGGCGCACUAGGAGGUAAAACAUAGAUAAGGUUUUUCUCUCCGAUAGAAACUGGGAGCCCAAAUCAUGAAUGAGAGGUUGGAUCCUCUAGAGAUUGCCAGCGAAGAGGACUGUACAUGGCUUCCCGCAGGGUGAGCCUUCCUGCACUUGAACUUGAACUCCUAGCCUCACUGUGAAAGCAAAACUGUGCAAGGUACCACCGUGGAACAAGG
rnacentral:lncRNA from 1 species